rnacentral:rRNA from 1 species
AGUGAACGCUGGCGGUAGGCCUAACACAUGCAAGUCGAACGGCAGCACAGUAAGAGCUUGCUCUUACGGGUGGCGAGUGGCGGACGGGUGAGUAAUACAUCGGAAUCUACUUUUUCGUGGGGGAUAACGUAGGGAAACUUACGCUAAUACCGCAUACGACCUACGGGUGAAAGCAGGGGAUCUUCGGACCUUGCGCGAUUGAAUGAGCCGAUGUCGGAUUAGCUAGUUGGCGGGGUAAAGGCCCACCAAGGCGACGAUCCGUAGCUGGUCUGAGAGGAUGAUCAGCCACACUGGAACUGAGACACGGUCCAGACUCCUACGCGAGGCAGCGGUGGGGAAUAUUGCACGAUGGGGGAGAGCCUGAUCCAGCCAUACCGCGUGGGUGAAGAAGGACUUCGGGUUGUAGAGCCAUUUUGUUGGGAAAGAAAAGAAGCAGGUUAAUACCCCGCUGUUAUGACGGUACCCAAAGAAUAAGCACCGGCUAACUUCGUG